GUCAGCAGCUAUAUCACCCUGCAGCUCUCAACAGGUUACCCACUGAGGCUGAGCCUGGCCAGUACCUGGAUGGGAGACGUCCUGGGAAGCUCAGGCUGCUGCUGGAA
rnacentral:rRNA from 1 species